rnacentral:lncRNA from 1 species
UCAAUUAUUUGGCGCCAACAUAAUAAUUAAGAUAAUUAAAUGACAUAUCAUGAAAUAUUUUAUUAUAAAUAACAUUUCUUAGAUUUUUUACCAUUGAAAGAAAUAAUUCUACCCUACACUUUAUUUGGUCUUGGAGGCCAAUAAUUUUUGGGUUUAUUUGGAUGAGAACAAAUACAUUGGUGAUUUCUACACAGUGGAAACGUAGAAGGUUUACACUUAAUUCUUUUUUCACAAGUUGUGUCAUCAUUACAUUCAAAAUAUCCUGUAAUAAAAAAAAUAAUAACAUAAGAAUGGUAUUAUGUAAGAAGUAAAGUGAAAAAUUUUAAAAGAAUGAAAAAAUGUAUUACUAUCAUAGUAUGCUUCAACGAGAAAUAGGGAAAGGCAUAAGAUCAUAACAAAUGCAAAUUUCAUAAGCUUAUCCAUAUUUUCCCCCUUUGCAUAUAACAAAUAGAAAAAUGCUUUGAAAACUUUAUAGUGAAAAAU